rnacentral:lncRNA from 1 species
GCCCCAGCGCUCUAGAGCUCAGCUGACGGGAAAGGGGGUGCGCAGCCUCGAGUUUGAGAGCUACCCGGAGCUCCAAGACAGGGGUGGGUUCCAGCUGCCCGCACGCCCCGACCUUCCAUCGUGCGUGCGACGACCUGGGACGCUGGAAACCCGGAGCUGCGCGCUGGGCGGAAAGGACUCCUAGUGGGCCCGGCUGAGAAGGCGGAGGCCUGGGCCGAGGCCACUGGUGCAUAUGUUCCCGGGAGGGAUAAGCCAGACCUGCCAACCUGGAAGAGGAAUUUCCGCUCUGCCCUCAACCGCA